UAAGCCUGGGUUGGAUCAUUUGUGUGGUUUCUUUCCUCGCCUUUUACUAGGAAGGACCGCGGGUCAACCAAUUAAGGGUCUGUGCCGCAAUUUUUUUCCGCUGGUUCAAAUCCCGACA
rnacentral:snRNA from 1 species